rnacentral:lncRNA from 12 species
AUGGGGUUUCUCAAAGGUCAAGAUUUGGGUGGCAGAGGUCCCAUGAAAUGCGGACAUUACACAAGAAAGGUUUCUGGCCAGAACGGGAAUGAAUAUGGAAUGGAAAGAAGAGUUUAUAAGUCACUUGUGUGUGUGCGUGUGCGCAGGUGGGUGUGUACUUUCCAAUCCUUUUGCUACAUAAGCGUCUCAUUUGGCUAAUUGUUGGCAAUGAUGGGCUGACUUGUUUUCAGUUUGGUUUCUCCUAUAGGGUUCCCUUCGGUACUAGUUAGUUGUGAUCUGGGAGAAAUUUGAUCAGGGUAACCCAGGAUGCAGAUGAAGUCUGGGGCGGUGAGCGAGGGCACUCCAAGCACCAGGGACAGUGGAUGGGGAAAACAGAUGGAAAUUAAGAAGCGGGGUGCGACCGAUGGAGGCACCUGAGAGACCACGGGUCACGGACUGGGGAGCACCGGGUGCCUGAGAAGAUAAGAGGUUCUGAUCCUGGACAACAAGCAGGAAGUUAGGGCACCCGGCUGGUACAAUGGAG